UUCUCCUCUGUCCAUUACUGUCAUUGGCAUGUACGACACAAAAGUUUACUCUUUGGAGAUUGGAUCCUUGGUAGCAUAUUUGUCUACUGCUCCCUCUACUGCAUAUUCUCAACAGUUAUAUUAAUUCUUUGGCUAGGAUAAAAGCUGCUCCUUUAUAUAUUUUUUUUAUAAGAUAUGGUAACAGAGUGACCAAUAGAGAUCUUCUUCCUCCAAUUGUUAUCGAAAACAAAAAAGAUUUUUGUCCUCUAUAGGUUAUAGCAACUACCAGUCUACCAUUACCAUGUUAAUCUCUUCAUUAUUCAAACUCUAUUUAACAUUUACAAUAAUUCUUUUGGCAAGAUGUUUUGUUACUCUUAUAAACACAUAUUUUGGCCAUCUCGCAACUGAUGUGGGACUUCUUAACAGCUACUAUUCAAUUUUGUUCCUUCUUUCAAAACAGUUUAUGGCUGGUUUGGGACCUAAUUUUGGG
rnacentral:lncRNA from 1 species